GGAAAACAAACGGUGGCUGUACCACUACUAAUUUAAAUUUUCACGCAAGUCCGAGUUUUCGUUCUAUUCUUGUCAUUUUGCGAUUAGCCUAUAUGGAAUUGACGAUGAGAAAGUAAUCAAACAGCAAAUUGUUUACAAUGUGUGCAUGUUUUCUGCUGUUGUUGCCAGUUAGCCUAUAUUGGAAAUGUGAAUGCAUUCUGUCGCUUCGGAUGUCAAGACAUGAAAGCGAAUGUUCGCAUAAAAACAUAAUGAAUGUGUUUGAGUGGAUAUAUAAAACAGUUACAAUCUGACUAUUGGCCUGUUAUAUCCUAUUUGUUGCAUAACGGUCCAAGUUCAACUACCAACGACAGUUUUGCUUGACAGCGGUAAAAUAUGCCCAAACGGCUGCAGAAGAAUAUUUCAAUUCCAUGUGAUUAAAUCGAUAAAAAUCAAUAAAUACAAAAGUAACCAUAUAUAGUCAUUGUUGGUAACCCGUUGUAUAUAAGUGGAAUAAACCCCUCCGGGCUGUCCCGGUUAUUAGAAAAUAAUGUAGGCUACUUAGGUGGUAGUAUGGGGUUACAGAAGAAAUCAUAUGACAGAUGGACCGACGACAACGCCGCUUUUUCAUACGUCAGUGGGCUAAUUUGCCUACUGUGGGGGGGGGGGGGGGGGGGUAUUGCUCAGUGCAGUUAUCCAGCUAACUAAUCCUGCUUCAGGAAACAGGGCCAUGGUUGUUGUUCCACUCAAGGCAAAGCAAUCGUUUCUAAUGGAAGACCGUUAUUCAGCAUGCUGCAGCAGUAGAAUGUAUGAUUUCCAGUCCUUUAGUUUUGCAUACGAGUCAGUGACUGCCAUCCGGGAUUAGAUUAUUGACUGAGUGAUGAAGUUACACCAUUGGUCGGCCGAAAUAUGAAGUGGCACCAUUGGUCGGCCGGUCCAGCCAUAUACUAGAUUUUAACCUGGUCUUGUUUUGAUCAUGUUGCACUUCUGUUUAAAUGUAUGAUUUAAAAUAAAAGGAUUUGUGCAAACAAUGGUAUUUUUAAAAAGCAUCACAAAUUUGAUGGUCAGUAUGUACAGUCCAUAGCUCUUAAAGGCACACUCAGAUUCUCAUCUUUUAUGUUCUAGAGAGCAGCUUCUACCUGUAAUGCACCUUCCCUCAUCCAUUCAUCCUCAGUUCUACCAUGUCUACCUGCACGUCAGCCCCUGUGCACAUUCCCAAAACUUCCUCUUUAAAAAUGUUUUAAUAAUACAUUUUCUAUUCUGACAGUUUUAACCUAUAGGUAAGCAUGUCAUGAUUAAAAUGACUACUUCUGUUGUGUAUAAUGUUUAAUGUGUGUGUAAUCUGUUACUCUGUGACAGCUGGCCACUCCUUAUAAUGCUUGUCUAUAAGUGCCUUUCUGGCUUUGCCAGGGAAACUAAAUCACCCUCAACAAUAGCCUUUUUAAUAGGUAGGAAUUUGUGAUAAUGAUAAUAAUUUGAAGAUGAAUCUCUUCAGGUGUUAUGCCUAGGAGGAUGUCCAUAUAGAGACAAGCAUUUAAGAUUGUGCAGUUUUGAACUGUUUGUGCCAAUUCCACAGCUCCCCAAGCCCUGAUGAAUCUUGUGCCAAAAGAUUAAGUUGUCUGAUGUCAUUGCGGAGGUUAUUUUCUAAAAUUUGAUUUAACAAAAUGGGAUUUAAAAUAUGAAAUCUUUCUGGAAAUGUUCACAAUGCUGCAAAUAUAAUGUUGAGCUCCUUUAGCUGAUAGCAACAAGGAGUCAGAUGUUUUGAUUAAUAAAGCAAAUCACUCAACUUGAGCUGGAAACCUUGGUA